AGCAUGGUCUUAGCUUGCUAAGACUGAUGGCGACCGGCGCACGGGUGAGUAACACGUAUCCAACCUGCCGUCUACUCUUGGACAGCCUUCUGAAAGGAGGAUUAAUACAAGAUGGCAUCAUGAGUCCGCAUGUUCACAUGAUUAAAGGUAUUCCGGUAGACGAUGGGGAUGCGUUCCAUUAGAUAGUAGGCGGGGUAACGGCCCACCUAGUCUUCGAUGGAUAGGGGUUCUGAGAGGAAGGUCCCCCACAUUGGAACUGAGACACGGUCCAAACUCCUACGGGAGGCAGCAGUGAGGAAUAUUGGUCAAUGGGCGAGAGCCUGAACCAGCCAAGUAGCGUGAAGGAUGACUGCCCUAUGGGUUGUAAACUUCUUUUAUAAAGGAAUAAAGUCGGGUAUGUAUACCCGUUUGCAUGUACUUUAUGAAUAAGGAUCGGCUAACUCCGUGCCAGCAGCCGCGGUAAUACGGAGGAUCCGAGCGUUAUCCGGAUUUAUUGGGCUUAAAGGGAGCGUAGAUGGAUGUUUAAGUCAGUUGUGAAAGUUUGCGGCUCAACCGUAAAAUUGCAGUUGAUACUGGAUAUCUUGAGUGCAGUUGAGGCA
rnacentral:rRNA from 1 species